rnacentral:rRNA from 1 species
AGAACGAACGCUGGCGGCAUGCCUAACACAUGCAAGUCGAACGAGACCUUCGGGUCUAGUGGCGCACGGGUGCGUAACGCGUGGGAAUCUGCCCUUAGGUACGGAAUAACAGUGAGAAAUUACUGCUAAUACCGUAUGAUGUCUUCGGACCAAAGAUUUAUCGCCUAGGGAUGAGCCCGCGUUGGAUUAGCUAGUUGGUGGGGUAAAGGCUUACCAAGGCGACGAUCCAUAGCUGGUCUGAGAGGAUGAUCAGCCACACUGGGACUGAGACACGGCCCAGACUCCUACGGGAGGCAGCAGUGGGGAAUAUUGGACAAUGGGCGAAAGCCUGAUCCAGCAAUGCCGCGUGAGUGAAGAAGGCCUUCGGGUUGUAAAGCUCUUUUACCCGGGAAGAUAAUGACUGUACCGGAGAAUAAGCCCCGGCUAACUCCGUGCCAGCAGCCGC